GUAGGGUGCAAGCGUUAUCCGGAAUCAUUGGGCGUAAAGAGCUCGUAGGCGGUUCAGCAAGUCGGCUGUGAAAUCCCGAGGCUUAACCUCGGAACUGCAGUCGAUACUGCUGUGACUAGAGUCCGGUAGAGGAGAAUGGAAUUCCCGGUGUAGCGGUGAAAUGCGCAGAUAUCGGGAGGAACACCAGUAGCGAAGGCGGUUCUCUGGGCCGGUACUGACGCUGAGGAGCGAAAGCGUGGGGUAGCAAACAGGAUUAGAUACCCUGGUAGUCCACGCCGUAAACGUUGGACACUAGGUGUGGCGUUCCGACCAACGGGUGCCGUGCUGAAGCUAACGCAUUAAGUGUCCCCGCCUGGGAGUACGGCCGCAAGGCUA
rnacentral:rRNA from 1 species